rnacentral:lncRNA from 1 species
UUGGAAUUUAGACUCACAUGACAUCCAGGAACAAGAACUAGAUCCCCUGCUUCUCCAAUACUUUUUUUAAAAAAUCCCAUAUCUCCACAGUAGGGCACUCAGAAGCAUUUCUGCUUGGCCUGCUGGGGCCUUCCCUGCUUCUUGUGAGUUGAGUCUGACUAAGGAGAGCCUGACUCAUCCUGGGAAUCAAGAGGUCACAUCUCACGUUGUGACAUUCACUUGCUGUCCCUGCACAGAGUUCUGCUUUCUUUCCCUCUCCUUCCCCAAUCACACACAGGGCCUUUCUGUGUUUCUAAUACCCUCCACCACUGUAGCAAUGGCCUCUGUCUCACCUCCUGUCUUUCUUGCUUCUUCUUCUGAGUCUCUCACGUAGGCUCUACCAUGAGUGUUCCCAUCCCUGUGCUGUGAUAGAGGCUCUUGACGCUAGCUUAUCUUGCAGCGAUGUAGCGUCAACCAGGAAAGUGGACAGAGCCACAGUCCUGAAAAUCAAGGACAUCUGAAUGAAAGGGAGCUAACUGAAGCCAGUGCCACUAACUAGUGCCACCCCUAUCUCAAUUUGAUGAGGUAAUAAAUUUAUAGGCAACGUGUGUUUAACCUUUCAAGAAUUCUUCUGAGAUAUUUCUCCCAUUUGAUGGAAGAGUUAGUUGAAGCUCAGAGAAGACAAGUGGCUAAGCUUAAGGGCCUGUUGGCACCCCACAGCACUGUGUCCUGGGUCUGUUUCACUUGAUCCCACUCUCCUCUGCACUCUGGCCUCUGGCUUCUCCUCCCUGCCCACUGAAGACUCUACUGCCACACUCAUCCCUGGCUAAGCCAGCUCCGUCCCAGUUCUCAGCAAAAUCUGAUGUGUUUGGGGUAAAUGUGAAUCAUGAUGGUCCAUACAUUUUGGUUGAAGAAACGUCAUUGAAGUGUCAGGAUAAUUUGUAGGGUGCUGGUGGGACUCAGGUGCUGGCAAUGUGACUCCAGUUGAAAGAUGCUAUGAGACUCUAUGCUCUAUGUGUGGCUUGAGUUGGGGGAAGUCCUGACGGAACAAGGGAACAGUUCAAGGUCACUGGUCCUGAAUAUUCAGACAAGAUGAUUUUAGUGAAAAGAGAGGCUCGGGUAGGGGAGAUACUGUUGUUUCAAGAAAAUAUUAAACUUCUUUAGCUUGUCCUUUUUAAAUAAAGAAAUCCUGAACACAAUU